UUCCAUGACCAUUCUAUCUAAAAUUACCCCAUUUUAAGCUAAGCAGGGUCAGGCCUGGUUAGUGCUUGGAUGAGAGACCACCUAGGAAAACCAGGUGCUGUAGACG
rnacentral:rRNA from 1 species